UACGAAGGGGGCUAGCGUUGAUCGGAAUCACUGGGCGUAAAGCGCACGUAGGCGGCUUUCUAAGUCAGGGGUGAAAUCCUGGAGCUCAACUCCAGAACUGCCUUUGAUACUGGAAAGCUUGAGUUCGGGAGAGGUGAGUGGAACUGCGAGUGUAGAGGUGAAAUUCGUAGAUAUUCGCAAGAACACCAGUGGCGAAGGCGGCUCACUGGCCCGAUACUGACGCUGAGGUGCGAAAGCGUGGGGAGCAAACAGG
rnacentral:rRNA from 1 species